GGACCCGCACAAGCAGUGGAGUAUGUGGUUUAAUUCGAAGCAACGCGAAGAACCUUACCAGGGCUUGACAUAUACUAGAAAUACCUAGAGAUAGGUACCUCUCUUCGGAGACUGGUAAACAGGUGGUGCAUGGUUGUCGUCAGCUCGUGUCGUGAGAUGUUGGGUUAAGUCCCGCAACGAGCGCAACCCUUAUUGCUAGUUGCCAUCAUUAAGUUGGGCACUCUAGCGAGACUGCCGGUGAUAAAUCGGAGGAAGGUGGGGACGACGUCAAAUCAUCAUGCCCCUUAUGUCCUGGGCAACACACGUACUACAAUGGCUGUAACAGAGGGAAGCAAGACAGUGAUGUGGAGCAAAUCCCUAAAGACAGUCCCAGUUCAGAUUGUAGGCUGCAACUCGCCUACAUGAAGUCGGAAUUGCUAGUAAUCGCAGGUCAGCAUACUGCGGUGAAUACGUUCCCGGGUCUU
rnacentral:rRNA from 1 species